AUGGGGAAUAUGUUUUCAUCCUUUGCUCUCUGCCUGGAUCUGUGAAAGACGAUACAAGAUGUAAUCUGUACUUUGGAGAAGCAGGUCGUCCAGUCUUAAAUCAAGCUGUCUUAAAGAAAAGCAGCACAAAAACCAGUCAGAGGUUCUGCCAGUUUGAUGUCUCAGUUGCUGAUUUUUUGAGACAUUUACAUUAUGUUCAACAAAAGGAUGCCAGCUGUGAUUACACUUUGGAAAAUGAACACAACUCUUUGUCACCUCGCAGUGAUCGAUACAACAUGACACAGAAUUCAAACUGUCUGGAGGGGAAAAGGAGAAAACGCAGUUAAGCGACCUGUAGAAAUGGAGCAAAGGAGUUACGAGAGACUGCACAAGGAAUAAGUUAGAGCUUACUUGCCACACAUUUACUAGACGCUUGGGAGAGGUACUUAAGGCUGGAGAUUGAAGUGGGGACAACGUGGACCCCAGGUAGCGCAGAUAUUUUGGAGAAAGAAUCACCAACAACCAAAGUGAACUCACCAUGUACCAUGACCACAGAAGUUCCAAAACUUCAAAAGCCUGAAUCAAAUCAUACCUCACAAAAGAAAACAUCAGCAGAAUCAAGUCUCACAACACCCAGGGCUUCCACUUCUACCAGUACUGUGGACUCACCAUCAGAAGAAGUCUCAAGAAAGAUAAACACAAAAUCGUCAUUUACCUUGACCACAGAUUCAAACAAGACUGAUACCACAGUGAAAGUCGAAGAGUCAUUAUGGAAUUUGGCAGCAGCUGUGACAAGAUAUGGAAUAGUUGUGGGCUUCAUCCUACUGGUACUGGGGCUUCACAUAUUCAAAAGGAGAACUGGUGAUUUUGUACGGAUGAGAACAAUUAACCAUGGAGGAUCGUUACCGGCAGGUAAUGAUGGAGGCUCCAGUGUGAUUCUUUCAGUACCUGGUGACAACUGUCUUACUAUUGAGGAGAACAUAAACUUGCAGCAGAUGAAAAAUGAAAAUUCUGACAUUUACCACGUGUACGGCACCAUCUCUGAGGAAACAGAUGCACCAGAUUCACAGGAUACGAUUUAGAGCCUGCUGGACGCACACUGAAACAUUUUUGGUGACGUUGUCCGUAAAGUGUAUUUAAAGGGAUUUAAUUAAUUUAAGGUGGGGAAAGUUUUACAGGUAGUAGAUGUAUUCUUGCAAAAAGUCUUGAACUUAAAUUGUUGUAGAUUCUUUUUUCUAAGGAUAAUUGGCGUGAUCAUGCAGUUUUCAGCUUUUGCAUUUUUAAUAAAUGUUUUUAGAUCUUCAUUAUUUUGUUUUAAGUAACUGUAAUUUGGAAGAUGACAGUCAUAACAUCUGAGUCAUUCCCAAACUUAGAACUAUGUAUACUGUUGCCAUAUAAUAAGACUGGCUUACUUUCAAAUUAUCCAACUUUUCCAAAAAUCCAACAAUUUCUCCUUUAUAGAAUUGCCUAAUAGACUAUAUGUAUCUAUUUUAAUGGUGUCAUUUGCAUUUCAGAUUGUGUUUUUCAACUGUUUUUAAGGUGGGAUGUAUUUGUUUUGUGUUAAUACAAACUAAAGGGGAAACAACAUAUUAAACAUGUAUCUACAAACUGUCAACUGACAACACAAAAAGUUCUUCCAAAAUCUGCCUGGAAAAGGUCAAAGGAUUUAACUUCAUGUCCUUUUCAGUUUUCUCUUGGUAAUAAAAAACAAAAUCCUGCUUUUUUUUAAGGUUAUGUUGACACAGUUUGAAGUAAAGGAUUUUGUCUAAAUAUUAAAAAAGCCAAUCUUGACUUCAAUCACAGGUCUCAGAAAUCGUGGAUUUGAAUGCCCAAAAAUGUAUCUUCCAUUUAAACUCUGUACUAUUGCCAUGUCACACUUUCAGGAAUGGAAAACCAUAUCCAGUGAAACAAAAAUAUUUGUUUGUUUGCAAACAAAAAUAAACCUACGAACUGUACUCAGUAAGAGACAGA
ensembl:lncRNA